rnacentral:rRNA from 1 species
UACGUAGGGUGCAAGCGUUGUCCGGAAUUAUUAGGCGUAAAGAGCUCGUAGGCGGUCUGUCGCGUCGAUCGUGAAAACUUGGGGCUUAACCCUGAGCUUGCGGUCGAUACGGGCAUGACUGGAGUUCGGCAGGGGAGACUGGAAUUCCUGGUGUAGCGGUGAAAUGCGCAGAUAUCAGGAGGAACACCGGUGGCGAAGGCGGGUCUCUGGGCCGAUACUGACGCUGAGGAGCGAAAGCGUGGGGAGCGAACAGG